GAAUACGUUCCCGGGCCUUGUACACACCGCCCGUCACACCAUGGGAGUUUGUUGCACCAGAAGUAGCUAGCCUAACUGCAAAGAGGGCGGUUACCACGGUGUGGCCGAUGACUGGGGUGAAGUCGUAACAAGGUAGCCGUAGGGGAACCUGCGGCUGGAUCACCUCCUUA
rnacentral:ncRNA from 1 species